AUUGAACGCUGGCGGCAGGCUUAACACAUGCAAGUCGAGCGGGGAAGGUUGCUUCGGUAACUGACCUAGCGGCGGACGGGUGAGUAAUGCUUAGGAAUCUGCCUAUUAGUGGGGGACAACAUUCCGAAAGGAAUGCUAAUACCGCAUACGUCCUACGGGGGAAAGCAGGGGAUCUUCGGACCUUGCGCUAAUAGAUGAGCCUAAGUCGGAUUAGCUAGUUGGUGGGGUAAAGGCCUACCAAGGCGACGAUCUGUAGCGGGUCUGAGAGGAUGAUCCGCCACACUGGGACUGAGACACGGCCCAGACUCCUGCGGGAGGCAGCAGUGGGGAAUAUUGGACAAUGGGCGGAAGCCUGAUCCAGCCAUGCCGCGUGUGUGAAGAAGGCCUUUUGGUUGUAAAGCACUUUAAGCGAGGAGGAGGCUCCUUUAGUUAAUACCUAAAGAGAGUGGACGUUACUCGCAGAAUAAGCACCGGCUAACUCUGUGCCAGCCGCCGCCGUAAUAC
rnacentral:rRNA from 1 species